rnacentral:rRNA from 1 species
UACGUAGGGCGCAAGCGUUAUCCGGAAUUAUUGGGCGUAAAGAGCUCGUAGGUGGUUUGUCGCGUUGUCCGUGAAAACUCACAACUCAAUUGUGGGCGUGCGGGCGAUACGGGCAGACUGGAGUACUGCAGGGGAGACUGGAAUUCCUGGUGUAGCGGUGGAAUGCGCAGAUAUCAGGAGGAAUACCGAUGGCGAAGGCAGGUCUCUGGGCUGACACUGACGCUCAUGCACGAAAGCGUGGGGAGCAAACAGG